AAAAACAUGGCUCCUUGAUUUUCACUGAUAAGGAGUCGGACCUGCCCAGUGAAUAUUUCAACGGCCGCGGUACUCUGACCGUGCAAAGGUAGCAUAAUCAUUUGCCUUAUAAUUGAAGGCUAGUAUGAAUGGUUUGACAAGAAUAUAGCUGUCUCUUUAUGAUUAUUUAGAAUUUUAUUUUUAGGUGAAGAAGCCUAAAUUUAAUUAAAAGACAAGAAGACCCUAUCGAGCUUGAAAGAAUUUAAUGAAAUUUGAAAUUAAUAAUAUUAAAAAAUUAUUUGUUAAAAAUUUUGGUUGGGGCGACUGAGGAACAUAAAAAGCUUCCUUUAUUAAUAAAUCUCGUACUUGAAUUGAUCCAAAAUAUUUUGAUUAAAGAAAUUAGUUACCGUAGGGAUAACAGCAUAAUCUUUUUUAAGAGCUCAUAUCGAAAAAAAGGUUUGUGACCUCGAUGUUGGACCAGAAUAUCCUAAAGGUGCAGCAGCCUUUGAGGGUUGGUCUGUUCGACCAUUAAAAUUCUACGUGA
rnacentral:rRNA from 1 species